GGCAGAGUGGUCCAGGGGAAAGGGCUUGGCACUGGGAAUCAAGAGACUUGAGUUCUAAUCUUAGCUCUGCCC
rnacentral:tRNA from 1 species